GGAAAGGCAGCAUCCCCGGAGGAGCAGAGUGGGGUGCACCCAGGCCUGGCUGGGUAUUGGGGCCACAGGGCUGGCUUUUCACACCAUGACAUGGGGCACAACGAGCAGGAGAAGGCUUUGUGGCUUUGGUUUGCACUGCGGGGUUGGGGCGCAGGUGCUGCAGCCCGCUGUGCUUUAAUAGAGCUGCUGCUGCUCCAAGGUGAUUGCUACUUUAUUGGCUUGUUUUUAGCCGUGCGGCCGAGCUGAGAGGAAGAUGGAUGGGGCUCAUCUUGGGUGAGACUUCUGCUGCAAAGCAGGAUGCUCACGGGCACCUGGCUGGGGAAUGGUCCCAGGGCUGGGCACUCAGU
rnacentral:lncRNA from 1 species